GGGGGCGUCACGGUUUCGACGGGAUCGCUUGCGGCACGGAGGCAUGCCGGGGUGUGGGCACCCGUAAUCGCUCGCAAAACAAAAGUUGCCAACGAUAAUCUGGCACUUGCUGCUUAAUUAAAUAAGCAGCCGUCCUCCACGGCUUUGCCUAUGGGCCGUGAGCGGGCGUCGCACAGUAGGCUGGCGGUUGCGGCUCGGUCCGUGUCGUACCCGCGAGAUCAUCGGACUAGUUUUAUGCGCAUCUUGUCCGUUCUGAGCGCAUAGAGCGAAACCUUCGGAACCGGACUGAGCAUGGAUUCUCCUGGCUGACAACGAUUUCGGACGCGGGUUCGACUCCCGCCGCCUCCACCA
rnacentral:tmRNA from 1 species